rnacentral:rRNA from 1 species
CUGGUUGAUCCUGCCUGAACUGAUGUGCUUAUCUCAAAGAUUAAGCCAUGCAUGUCUAAGUAUAAACGAUUGAAUCGUGAAACCGCGAAUGGCUCAUUAUAACAGCUAUAAUUUACUUGAUCUUGACUUCACACUACUUGGAUAACUGUGGUAAUUCUAGAGCUAAUACAUGCAUUAAAGCUCCGACCUUCUAGGGAAGAGUGCAUUUAUUAGAACAAAACCAGGCAGCUUCGGCUGUUUUCGGUUGACUCAUAGUAACUGAGCUGAUCGCAUGGUCUUGUACCGGCGACGUGUCUUUCAAGUAUCUGCCGUAUCAACUUUCGAUGGUAGUGUAUCUGACUACCAUGGUGAUCACGCGUAACGGAGAAUAAGGGUUCGGCUCCGGAGAGUUCGCCUGAGAAAUCGCGAACACAUCUAAGGAAGGCAGCAGGCGCGAAAAUUACCCACUCUCAGCACGAGGAGGUAGUGACGAAAAAUAACGAGACCGUUCUCUUUGAGGCCGGUCAUCGGAAUGGGUACAAUUUAAACCCUUUAACGAGUAUCUAUGAGAGGGCAAGUCUGGU